rnacentral:lncRNA from 1 species
AAUAGACUCUACAAUCCAGGAGGGAGUUGCCCAUUCGUCUCCUAAAGACCUCACUCCUGACCUGGAACACAGGGUGAAACCAGCUGGUGGCCCCCAUGAGAAGUAUGAGAGAUCGUUCAUGACAAGGAAUUUCAGGACCAGCACCUGUAUCUGGACUUCAGGUGACUUGUGAUAUACUGCUCCUGGGUGGUUACUAAGCUUACAAAGAGAUCAGAAGCACAGAAGGCUUUGAUCCUAGUGGAAGAACAGUGAUGAAAAACCCAGGAAUCUCCCCCCUCCAUGAAACUGAGUGGCAGAGUGAUUUGAAAUGGGUAUAAGAUGGAACUUCUGGUACUGGGAAGAACUGAUUGCUGGAUGAAGAAUAAUUACUAGUCCAAGUUGGGUUCUCUCUACUGUAUACAAUCAUUCCCUGAGGGGUUUGGGUGGCUAAUCAUGCAAAUUAAAAGGAUCUAAUAGGAUUUGCUACUUGAUAAGUGAAAGUAAUUACUCAUCUCCCUGUUGACUUGAUUAUUGUGAUUUUAAACAAAAAUUCUCUUUCUGUUAUAAUGAGCAACUGAAAUGUAAAUGCUAAAUAAAACUAGUAUAAAACUCC